rnacentral:snRNA from 1 species
CACUUAUAUUCAUUGAACUGAUAUACUGAAAUUGGAAUGGUACAGACAAGAUUAACAUGGCCUUGCACAAGGAUGACAUGCAAAUUUCUGAAGCAUUUCAUAUUUAA